UUUUCCACCAGGCCCGAAGAUUCAAUCAAGAGGACAAGAAAGUUCAUGGAAGCUAGGUUUGACUUUCCUCCAGAAAAGAAAAUUCGCACUGACAGUGAUGGCUAUGAAGAUGAUGAUUUAUCGAGCAGAGGCGUCGGCGCUCCAUCAGCUGGCAGCAUCCGUGUAACUCAGGAUCUAAUGGCAAAAGUGUUGGCUGCUUCUAAGAACAAAUGAUGGCCUGUCCAUACUUGCAGCUAUGAUAAGGGUGUGCGCACUUAAAUUGGUGCUCGGACCCUCUCGCCUCAUCGCCCCUCCCCUAAAAAGCAAAUCCUGACAGCAGGUCCGGAGAAAAUGAGCCAUAAAUCACAACCAAGCGACUGCAAGAUAGUUCUUCUGCUUUCUAUUUGUAAAUAAAAUUAGAUACAUGCAUUGUUAAUUUUUCAAAUACACGAAAAGUUUAUUUAAUAAACCCUUUUAUCAAUGUG